rnacentral:misc_RNA from 1 species
CAACAAACGAGGUCACCGAAUCGGCACACAUCAGGACACACAGAUGUUGUCGGCGUGUAAAUUAUCAUCACGUCAGUGGCUGUCGGGUUUGUCAGCAUACUUUAGACGUUCACCGGGAGCCUGCUAUCACACCAAGCAUUCCGUAUACGGAUAUAAACUGCCAACUCAGACACAAGAAAACAACGAGCUUGGUUCUAGCUCAGAAGACCCCAUUUUGAUCCAAAAUCAGAUAGAAAACAGCAAUUUACUGAGAUUGGUGACAGCAUAUCGAAGACAUGGACACAGAAAGGCAGCCCUUGAUCCCCUAGGGAGACUUAAACCACAGGAAUGUGCAGAAUUGGAUCCUGUCUACUAUGGGUUAGGUGAGGCUCAGUACACUGCUCACAAUCUUUAUGGCAUCCUGCACAGUGGAUCGGAGUCUGCCACCACUGAAGAGGUCUUGCAGUUCUUGGAGCAAACUUACUGUGGAAACAGUGCAGUGGAAUUUGAACAUUUGCCUUCACUGGAAGAGAGGAACUGGUUUGCCAAAAGAUGGGAAGAAAGCCAAUUUGAAGAAAUUUCAAAGGAUAAAAAGAUUGCAUUAGCAAACCUUAUGCUCAAAUGUCAGGCUUUUGAUCACUUUCUUCACACUAAAUUUUCCACUGUGAAGCGGUAUGGAGGUGAAGGAGCAGAGAGCAUGAUGGGAUUUUUCCAAGAAAUAUUUGAAAGAUCUGCUGAGUAUAACAUUCAGGAUGUUAUAAUUUGUAUGCCCCACAGAGGAAGACUAAAUUUGCUGACAUGCAUGCUCAAAUUUCCACCAGUGCAGAUGUUUCAGAAGAUGAAAGGCAUCAGUGAAUUUCCUCCUGGUGUGAAAGGCAGUGGGGAUGUCUUGUCUCAUCUAACUUCUUCAGUAGAUUUAGAUUAUGGUGAAAAGAAGAUCCAUGUCACAAUGAUUCCAAAUCCAUCUCAUCUGGAGGCCAACAACCCAGUAGCUGUUGGUAAAGCCAGAGGAAGACAACAGACACUUAAAGAUGGAGAUUACUCUGAUGACCCAGCUGCUGUGAUGGGGGAUAAGGUGCUGUGUCUACAAGUCCAUGGAGAUGCAUCAUUCUCUGCACAGGGUGUGGUUGCAGAAACCUUUGUGAUUGCCAACACUCCACAUUUCACUGUGGGAGGAAGUGUGCACCUCAUAGUCAAUAACCAGCUGGGAUUCACUACGCCAUCUGAGAGGGGAAGAUCAUCUCUGUAUUGCAGCGAUUUGGCAAAAAUGAAUGAUUGUCCCGUGAUACAUGUAAAUGGAGAUUACCCUGAGGAAGUAAUUAGAGCUACCCAGCUUGCCAUGGAAUACAGACAGAAAUUUAGAAAAGACAUUGUGAUAGAUCUCAUCUGUUAUAGAAAAUGGGGCCAUAAUGAGUUAGAUGACCCCUCGUUUACCCAGCCACUUAUGUAUGAAAUCAUCAAGAACAGAGCCAGUGUACCAGAUCUCUAUGCAACGAAUAUUGUAGAAGCAGGUCUUUGUUCUAAGGAGGAGUUGGACUCAGCAGUAGCCAGUUGGAACAAAGAACUCAUUGAUGAAAUGACCAAUAUUGAUACUCACAUUCCCAAGGCAUAUCACUUGGAGAAGCACUGGUCAGGCUAUGUCCAAGCACCUGCCAGUCUAACAACAUGGGACACUGGGGUGCCCACUGAUCUCCUGAAGUAUAUUGGUGCUAAGUCUGUGGCAGUACAGGAUGAUGUGGCAGUUCAUAAUACGCUAUCUAAGCAUCACAUUGGCAAGCGUGUUCAGCAGAUAGAGGAUGGGUCUAAUUUGGACUGGGCAACUACUGAAGCCUUGGCUGUAGGCUCUUUACUUUUGCAAGGUUACAAUGUGAGAUUUUGUGGACAGGAUGUAGGGAGGGGCACUUUCAGCCAUCGUCACAUGAUGCUGGUCGACCAAUCGCAUGAUGGGAUUUUCAUUCCUCUUAACCACAUGACGGAACAUCAAACGGGCUUUCUUGAGGUCUGCAAUAGUGCUCUUACGGAACUUGCAGCUCUUGGCUUUGAAUAUGGUAUAAGUAUAGAAAAUCCUACAUCCUUAGUCAUUUGGGAGGCGCAGUUUGGAGAUUUUUUCAAUGGAGCUCAAGUUAUAAUUGAUACAUACAUUGCCUCCGGUGAAACCAAAUGGCUCCUACAGAGUGGCUUGGUGAUGUUGUUACCCCAUGGUAUGGAUGGUGCAGGCCCUGAGCACUCUUCUUGCAGAAUUGAAAGAUUCCUACUGCAAUGUGAUAGCAAGGAAGAUGGUUUUGAUGGGGAUGAUGUCAACUGGCAAAUUGUAAAUCCCACAACACCUGCCCAGUAUUUUCAUCUCCUCAGGAGGCAGAUGGUGCGGAAUUUCAGAAAACCCCUUAUUGUGGCCUCUCCUAAGAUGAUAUUGCGGCUUCCUGCAGCUACGUCAAGCUUGUUGGAUCUGGCACCAGGCAAGACAUUCUGUCCAGUACUGGGAGACAAUGAAAUAGAUGGCAGUGCUGUCAAGAGGGUAGUGUUCUGUUCUGGGAAGCACUACUAUGCCUUGCAUAAACAGAGAGAAACAGUUGGAGCUAAAGAUACUGCACUUAUCAGACUUGAGUGUCUCUGUCCAUUCCCAGCAGAAUCUCUUAGGCAAGAAUUGAACAAAUACAAAAGUGCUACAGAAUUCAUUUGGAGUCAGGAGGAACACCAAAAUUCAGGAGCCUGGUCCUUUGUAGCACCAAGAUUUGAAAAAGUUGUCGGCUGCAAGCUGGCAUAUGUUGGACGUGGACCGCUGGCAGCACCUGCAGUCGGCAUUGGACAAGUGCACCAGAGAGAAGUUCUGGACAUAUUGGAAAGAACAUUUGCCAAAAACAAAUAAAACUAUUUCAGAGAAAGGUGCUGAUAAAAUGGGUUUAAUCAUCAUAAUUAUGAUAUGCACUGUCAGAAGAACAUAUCCAGUGAAAUACAUCCAAAAUGUUUCAAGUAAUGUGUAAGAUUGAUGUAAGAUGUAGAAAGUAUUAAGCGCUUAGGAUAAAGCAUUGUAACAACAUUCAGUAUUACAUUUUUAAAUUAUUUAACAAUAAUUUAUCAGUCACAAAUUCAGACUUACACAUUUGAAAUGUUUUAAAAUAAAUUAAGCAUCUGUUCUGAUUCUCAUACAAGAUACAGCACUAAAUGAAGGAAAGGUUGUGAUUAGGGAAAUUUUACCAUGAAGUCAGAUAUUUUAUGCAUAAUAUCUUUAAACAUUAAGUAAGGUAUAUUAUAGUGUGCUUCUAAAUUCCUGGUUUUGCAAUCUCAUGUCAUGAACUGAAAAUCAUGUAACUUUUAUUUAUUGUGAUUGGCAUUUUGGGGAUGGAUUCACUCUUUUUUAUGUUCAAUAAUAUGUGCUUAUAAAGAACACAAUGCACAUUUUUCUUGUUUUUUAAAUCUCAGAGGUGCAUUUUUCUUCAUCAGAUGAACACAAUUCAUAUGCAGUUUGCAUCUUAAUUCUAGCAGAGACUUCUUGCAUCUGGAUGCAGAUACCCAUUAGCCAGUGAUGGUGAAGUGGGUUGUUCCUGUAUCAUAGAUUUUACUAUGAGGAUGCAAGCUUCCACAUUCACCAUUGCAAAGUGCUGAAAAUCAAAUCACUAGAGAUGACCAUAGAUAUCACUGACCGUUGCUUUUGUCUGAGUUUGUACAUGAAAUGUUUUGAAAAUGUGCACUGGCAGGGUUGGUCCAAUCUGUGUUUUAACCGAAAAGAAAUGACUACAUUGAAAAUGUCCAUGUUCCUUAAUUUUAAGGUUAAAAAAUUUGGCUUUCAUAGGUGCUGAACUCUUCUCCUGGUUGGUGAUAUUACUUAUUGACGCUUGUGACUAAACGUAAUUAAAUAUAGUUGUGCGAGAUUCCUUACAAAAUUAGUAUCUUACUGAGUGACUAAAACUAAAAGGAGGCACUUUUAGUUUAUGACCUUUCUUGGAAGGGGAAAUGAUUUAUUUCGUCCCUCUUUUUCAAAGAUGUACAGCAAUUUGAGCGAGUAAUGAUCAUUUAUGCAUUUUGCAUUCCCCUCAUAAUAUACAGUAACACCUUACGUUAGAUAUAACAUUGUUUGAUGUACGUAUGAUGCUGUUGUCGAGUGCUUAUGUUCAUUUUAUUUCUUGUUAUAUAGAGUUGCUGCAGAAAUUGGUCUCAAAGAAGGCCAAUCUAUAGAAUAUUAUUUUACUAUUGUGACAAGGUUAUAACCCCGGUCGCGUAGACAUAUUUGUCACCAUACAUCAUGGACAACAGUUUAUAUUAAAUCAAAAAUUAAAAAUAACAAUGAAGAUAGAUAUAAGAAAUCAAAUGUUAAUGGAGUAAAUGAUGAUGCUCAUACAUACGGGGAGUAGCGUUGUACAGGAUGAAAUAUAUUUGUACGGACCUCGGGCUAUCGAUUGCAAUUGCAGAUAUAUAUAAGAAAAUACAUAUACAUCCAUAUGAAGGAUAUAUUUCCAUUACGGUUAUUAUCUCUAUGCUAUUGGCCAGAUCCAGAAGACGACUGCAUAUAAAGUGUAUGAAGCAUUGGUGACAUAUGAAGAGGUCGGCCCAGAAGAGAACUUGGAGUAACUUCUUACUCUCUUGAGUGAAAAAUCAUGAAGCAGCCCAUGAAGGAAUCCUAAGGAAAAAAAAUUAAAAAGCGAAUGGAAUCUUUUUAAAUGGAAAGCAGUUAUACAUUCAGCAAAGAAUACCAUUCCUUUUGAACCAUACCAAGUUCACUUCAUGUGAUCACAUAUCACAAAUUACCAAUUUGAAAUAAAAUUGCAUCUGUGUAUUAUUCCCCGAUUUGCUUAACCCAACUGGUGGUGCAUGUAUAGGAGGCAGCCACACCUCUUUCAUCCCUUAGUCGCUAAUAUAUCAUGCUCAUAAGGUCAUCAAAUGCAAAUAUAUUUAAGUUGAUAUCAGCAUUUCACUGAACUGAAUCGAAUAUACUGAACACAUUUAUUGAUGUAGACAGAAUAUGUAAUAGCUACCAGUUUUUAAAUCAGGAUUUCAUAAUUGUUGAUUUUUGUGCACAUUUUUUAU